AAGUGAUGGCCUUGAGAUUUGAAUGCAGGUCUUCAAACAGCCAGGCUCUCCCUUCUACAUUGUGACUGCUUUGGAUGUGUUUUGCAAAAUAAAACUACCAACCUACACAAUUGGAACAUGCAUGUGAGUGGUUUUUCUAAGGGUGAUAAUGGAUUUGCCCUGAUUCAUCUGUAUUUUGGGGGGGGGGCACAAAAAAGAAUGUGACAAGCAAUAUAAACAAUAGUAAGUUAGUAUUGUGCUUUACAGUUUUAUGCAAUAUGUAGCCUCCUUAAAAUAUUAUUACAAAGUACUGUUGGAGGUAAAAGAGAAGAUAAUCCUUUGCCAGAUGUAGGGGUGGUAAUUGCACAGGAUAUUGGGCUCACAGUGGCAUAGAAGGAAAAGCAGACUUUGAUGUCAGACCCACUGUGGUUUGUUUUCUGCCUCUGUAACUUACUCACUGUGUUUACCUCGGACAUUCAAGCCUUGGGGCUCUUGUGUGUACAGUGUGUUCUAUAAUACCCAUUUCACAGAGUUCCUGUGAGGAUGAGAUAAUGUAUGUAGAAUGCCUGGCUUGGUGACUGGCACAAACAGAACACACAUUCAACAAAUAGUAGUUGCUAUGGUUACUGCAGUAGUUGUUGAGGAAAGAAUGGAAUUCUGAUAUAAUAGCUGUGGAAAAGCAGUCUGUGUGGAGGGAGCAGGAGGGACAAGGCAUGGAGGCCAGAGAACAAUGGAAUGCUGUGCUUUAGGAACCUAAUCAAGCACUGGAUACUGGAAGUGUUGGUUCUAGGAGAAACCACUGAAAAUGAUUUAGGAAUGGACUAUCCAAGCUAGAAGUGGGGAGGGCCUGAAGCAGGAGAAGAGCAGGGACAAUGGUGAGGAAGACAAGGCCCAGGACACGUCCCUGGGUGGAGAUCUCUGUCUGCACCACAGGUUGGCAGAGCCCUCUCGCUGUGCCCUCUUCUGAGCAGGAUUAGCAGCUGAUCAACCCAGGGUCUGUGGUCUCUAGCAAGGCACCCACACAUAAGCCAGCCUCAUAAGCACAGUGACCUAGCCAGGGGGGUUCCUAAACCUGGCUGUCCAUUCUUUGGUGCCUACUAAAACAGGGAUUCCUGAGUCUUCCCUCAGACAGGGGUUUAGAAGGUCUGGGCUGGGCUGCUUGUGAAAUAGCGUGUGCCUGGACUGGCAUUUAGGAACAGCUUGACAAGGCCACCCCGUCACACUGGAUGCAGCCCACGACGUGAAGAGGAAGGGAUUGUCCCUGGCUAUUCUAUAACCUUGAUUCUUGCACAUGGGCUCAUGGAAUGAUCUGGAACUAGCCAAAAGUGAAAACAAAGUGCAAAGAAAGAAGAAGUUCGAAACAAAACAUAGAGGCCUUUCCUGAGGGAUUUAUCCAGAUGUGAAGACUUCAGGUUGGAAGUUGUGUGGGUAAGAACUCAAUGACCUGCUCCCAAGGUGACCAAGUGAACAUUAGCUUUCAUUCGACAGACAUCACCGGUUGAAAGUGGACAAGCUCUCUCUACCCAUCUACUAGUGAAUCCAUUCAUUUAUCAAAUGUUUACUGAACAGCGGCACACAGAGCCUGUGACACAUCCCUGUAAGUAUUCUCAGCAUUGGCAGGUCUGCUCCACCCAUCCUGGUCCUGGGAUUCUCAAGCUGGAGGAGAUCUUAGAGAUCAUUUAAUGCAAUCAUUUGCCUGAAACAGAUACAUCUGAGAUAUUAGGUAACGUGACUAUGGUCACAAAGCCAGGAAGAGGGACUUGAUUUCAUAAAUAACCUUAAGACAUUUGCAGUUAAGUCUCGAGGGAAGAUGCGUGAAUCAGCUGGGAAAUAUGGGUUGGUUCAAAUGGCAGUGAAGAUGGUCCAAAAUAAGAGCCCCCAAAGUGCUAAGAUGCCUUCAUGGCACUGCUGUGUGAGCUGCCUCCCACGGUGACGGCUUCGAAUCCCAGUAUUCAAACCUGCUUCACCCUCUCCCUAACAGCACCCAUGCAGUUAACCCCUGGCAAGAUCUCAGAUUUUUCAUUAAAAACUCCUUUCCUAUGAGGUGGAAGGUCUGGAGACUUGAAGCAAUCUGACCCAACACAACUCUAGAUGUAUUGCUUCCCAGUCUCUGCCAGACUGUCUGCGCACCCCUCGUAACUAACUGGAUGCUUGGGAGACUUUCUCAGCCCAGGUCCCUCCUCUGAAUUACAGAACACCAAAAAUGA